AAUAAAGAACUAAAAUCUUAGAACUAUUUUGAUAGAAUAGAAUAGCCUACAAGCCUUUAUUA
rnacentral:tRNA from 1 species